UACGAAGGGGGCUAGCGUUGCUCGGAAUCACUGGGCGUAAAGCGCACGUAGGCGGAUUGCUAAGUCAGGGGUGAAAUCCUGGAGCUCAACUCCAGAACUGCCCUUGAUACUGGCGGUCUCGAGUCCGGGAGAGGUGAGUGGAACUGCGAGUGUAGAGGUGAAAUUCGUAGAUAUUCGCAAGAACACCAGUGGCGAAGGCGGGUCUCUGGGACGGUACUGACGCUGAGACGCGAAAGCGUGGGGAGCGAACAGG
rnacentral:rRNA from 1 species